rnacentral:rRNA from 1 species
AGUGAACGCUGGCGGCAGGCCUAACACAUGCAAGUCGAGCGGCAGCGCAGCAGUAGCAAUACUGUGGGCGGCGAGCGGCGGACGGGUGAGGAAUACAUCGGAAUUUACCCAAUCGUGGGGGAUAACGUAGGGAAACUUACGCUAAUACCGCAUGAACUGGAGACAGCAAAGCGGCGGACCUUCGGGCGUCGCGCGGUUGGAUGAGCCGAUGUCGGAUUAGCUAGUUGGCGGGGUAAAGGCCCACCAAGGCGACGAUCCGUAGCUGGUCUGAGAGGAUGAUCAGCCACACUGGAACUGAGACACGGUCCAGACUCCUACGGGAGGCAGCAGUGGGGAAUAUUGGACAAUGGGCGCAAGCCUGAUCCAGCCAUGCCGCGUGUGUGAAGAAGGCCUUC